GGCCCCUUCGUCUAGUGGUUAGGACGCCGGCCUCUCACGCCGGCAACACGAGUUCGAGUCUCGUAGGGGUCACCA
rnacentral:tRNA from 1 species